rnacentral:rRNA from 1 species
UGGUAGUGGGGGAUAACGUUCGGAAACGGACGCUAAUACCGCAUACGUCCUACGGGAGAAAGCAGGGGACCUUCGGGCCUUGCGCUAUCAGAUGAGCCUAGGUCGGAUUAGCUAGUUGGUGAGGUAAUGGCUCACCAAGGCGACGAUCCGUAACUGGUCUGAGAGGAUGAUCAGUCACACUGGAACUGAGACACGGUCCAGACUCCUACGGGAGGCAGCAGUGGGGAAUAUUGGACAAUGGGCGAAAGCCUGAUCCAGCCAUGCCGCGUGUGUGAAGAAGGUCUUCGGAUUGUAAAGCACUUUAAGUUGGGAGGAAGGGUUGUAGAUUAAUACUCUGCAAUUUUGACGUUACCGACAGAAUAAGCACCGGCUAACUCUGUGCCAGCAGCCGCGGUAAUACAGAGGGUGCAAGCGUUAAUCGGAAUUACUGGGCGUAAAGCGCGCGUAGGUGGUUUGUUAAGUUGGAUGUGAAAUCCCCGGGCUCAACCUGGGAACUGCAUUCAAAACUGACUGACUAGAGUAUGGUAGAGGGUGGUGGAAUUUCCUGUGUAGCGGUGAAAUGCGUAGAUAUAGGAAGGAACACCAGUGGCGAAGGCGACCACCUGGACUAAUACUGACACUGAGGUGCGAAAGCGUGGGGAGCAAACAGGAUUAGAUACCCUGGUAGUCCACG